rnacentral:rRNA from 1 species
UGGUUUCUAUCUUUUAAAUAAUGAUAUAUUUUAGUACGAAAGGAUCAAAUAUUUUAAUUAAAUUAUUAUUUUAUUUUGAAUUUUAUUAAGUUUAAAUAAUAAAAUUUAUUUUUUAAAAUUAGAUUAAGUUUU